rnacentral:lncRNA from 1 species
AGCAACACUCUCUGCUUUGGUCAACUUCAUUGUUUAACAUUAGUUGAUACAUGUGCAAAAGAAAAUUAAGUCAUGGGAACCAGCUGAAUCAAGUCAGGAGAUGUUUGGAUUGUCAGAUGCAUUUUUUGGUUUAGUGAAAGCCUGAAAAAGUAACAGAAGGAUGGGGAACAUGAAAAUAUAUGCAUUAAAGAAAGGGGGUCUCCACUGGGAAGAAAUUUCUACCUUACCUGACAUGUUGGCCUGUCAAUGCUCCAGUGAUUUAAAUGAUCUAGAAAAUCAGUUUCAAGGUAAUUUUUAAUCUGUAGUGCAAGCAGUUACAAAGAGACUCUGAUCACCUGAGAAAAAGCAAAGCAAACAAAAACACAGCAGGAAAAAUCUAUUUCUGAUGAAGUCCACGGAAU